rnacentral:rRNA from 1 species
AUGCCCAACCGUAAAACCAACCUACACCACACACGCCAGGGUAUUACGAGCCAAGCUUAAAACCCAAAGGACUUGACGGUGCCCCAGCCAACUAGAGGAGCCUGUCCUAAAAUCGAUAAUCCCCGCUCAACCUUACCACUUCUUGCUUGAUUCAGUUAGUAUACUUCCGUCGUAAGCUUGCCAUUUGAGUGACUCAUAGCAGGCCCAAUGAUAUUCCAUAAAUACGUCAGGUCAAGGUGCAGCAUAAGAAGUGGGCUGAGAUGGGCUACAAUUUCUAACUUAGAACACACGGAACAUUGAAUGAAACACAAAUGUGAAGGUGGAUCUAGUAGUAAAAAGAAAAUAAAGUGUUCUUUUUAAUAAUGGCACUGGGACGCGUACAAACCGCCCGUCACCCUCCUCGAUAGACUGUAAUAGAUAAAUAACACAAACCUCACAAUCAGAGGAGGCAAGUCGUAACAUGGUAAGUGUACCGGAAGGUGCACUUGGAUAG